rnacentral:rRNA from 1 species
UACGUAGGGUGCGAGCGUUAAUCGGAAUUACUGGGCGUAAAGCGUGCGCAGGCGGUUUCGUAAGCCAGAUGUGAAAUCCCCGGGCUUAACCUGGGAAUGGCAUUUGGGACUGCAAGGCUGGAGUGUGGCAGAGGAGACUGGAAUUCCUGGUGUAGCAGUGAAAUGCGUAGAUAUCAGGAGGAAUACCGAUGGCGAAGGCAGGUCUCUGGGCUGACACUGACGCUCAUGCACGAAAGCGUGGGGAGCAAACAGG